AGAGCGAACGCUGGCGGCAGGCUUAACACAUGCAAGUCGAGCGGGCGUAGCAAUACGUCAGCGGCAGACGGGUGAGUAACGCGUGGGAACGUACCUUUUGGUUCGGAACAACACAGGGAAACUUGUGCUAAUACCGGAUAAGCCCUUACGGGGAAAGAUUUAUCGCCAAAAGAUCGGCCCGCGUCUGAUUAGCUAGUUGGUGAGGUAACGGCUCACCAAGGCGACGAUCAGUAGCUGGUCUGAGAGGAUGAUCAGCCACAUUGGGACUGAGACACGGCCCAAACUCCUACGGGAGGCAGCAGUGGGGAAUAUUGGACAAUGGGCGCAAGCCUGAUCCAGCCAUGCCGCGUGAGUGAUGAAGGCCCUAGGGUUGUAAAGCUCUUUGUGCGGGAAGAUAAUGACGGUACCGCAAGAAUAAGCCCCGGCUAACUUCGCGCCAGCAGCCGC
rnacentral:rRNA from 1 species